UACGUAGGGACCGAGCGUUGUCCGGAACCAUUGGGCGUAAGGAGCGUGUAGGCGGCCUUUUAAGUCCUGCGUGAAAUCCUGCGGCUCAACCGCAGACGGUCGUGGGAAACUGGAAGGCUAGAGUGCGGGAGAGGAGAGUGGAAUUCCCGGUGUAGCGGUGAAAUGCGCAGAUAUCGGGAAGAACACCCGUGGCGAAGGCGGCUCUCUGGAACGCAACUGACGCUGAGACGCGAAAGCGUGGGGAGCAAACAGG
rnacentral:rRNA from 1 species